rnacentral:lncRNA from 1 species
GCGGGGACCUGUCGGCUGGGAAGGCGCGGCCCCGGGAGAGCAGGAGAGGCGCGGGUCUUGCGUAGCCUCAGGGAGAUAACUUUCCGUUUUCUACUUUCCCAGGAGACGCGCUUCACCUGCGAGGAAGCCUCGCCGGAACCAUGAGUGUGCACCGCCCGAUCCCGACCUGGGCACUGGAAGAUCGGCGGCCUCAGGGGAAUUUUCCGAGCGAAGCUGGAGAUGACGCCGCCCGCACGGUGCCGUGGGAGUCUUUGCCCGCAGGAAGACAAGGCGGCAGGUGCGGGUCGCCGCUGACCUGCCCCCAACCACCAAGGGCUGUCGGAGCGGGCUUCGCCGCGACCGAGCCAGGGGCUGUGCCAGCCUGGGUCGGGCGUCCAAUUCCUGCCCUCGAGGAGGCAGAAUUCUUCCCGAGAGGUGUUCUCCCUGCUCGCCGCUCAGGCACGUCCAGGACACAGCUCUGGUAAAGUUAAACAGGGCCUCCCGUGCCGUAUUUCUCUGUGAACACACCGUUCAGUCCUUUAUAUCUUAUUAGAAAAUGGGCAUGAUGUAUGGCAAUGGGUGUAAUAAAACACGUCGGGCAGCGAUCCUGUGUCAACAU